rnacentral:rRNA from 1 species
GGACGAACGCUGGCGGCGUGCUUAACACAUGCAAGUCGAACGCUGAAGCUCAGCUUUUGUUGGGUGGAUGAGUGGCGAACGGGUGAGUAACACGUGAGUAACCUGCCCCCUUCUUUGGGAUAACGCCCGGAAACGGGUGCUAAUACUGGAUAUUCACUGGUCUUCGCAUGGGGGUUGGUGGAAAGGGUUUUUCUGGUGGGGGAUGGGCUCGCGGCCUAUCAGCUUGUUGGUGGGGUGAUGGCCUACCAAGGCUUUGACGGGUAGCCGGCCUGAGAGGGUGCCCGGUCACAGUGGGACUGAGAUACAGCCCAGACCCCUACGGGAGGCAGCAGUGGGGAAUAUUGCACAAUGGGCGCAAGCCUGAUGCAGCGACGCCGCGUGAGGGAUGGAGGCCUUCGGGUUGUGAACCUCUUUCGCUCAUGGUCAAGCCGCAACAAUGGUUGUGGUGAGGGUAGUGGGUAAAGAAGCGCCGGCUAACUACGUG